CGGGGGGAGCAAGCGUUGUUCGGAUUUACUGGGCGUAAAGGGCGCGUAGGCGGCCUCUGCAAGUCGACUGUGAAAUCUCCGGGCUUAACCCGGAACGGUCAGCCGAUACUGCAGGGCUAGAGUGCAGAAGGGGCAACUGGAAUUCUCGGUGUAGCGGUGAAAUGCGUAGAUAUCGAGAGGAACACCUGCGGCGAAGGCGGGUUGCUGGGCUGACACUGACGCUGAGGCGCGAAAGCUAGGGGAGCGAUCGGGAUUAGAUACCCCGGUAGUCCUAGCCUUAAACGAUGAAUGCUUGGUGUCUGGGGUUUUAUAGUCCCCGGGUGCCGUCGCUAACGCUUUAAGCAUUCCGCCUGGGGAGUACGGUCGCGAGACUG
rnacentral:rRNA from 1 species